rnacentral:tRNA from 1 species
CCGAUGUGGCUCAGUUGGUAGAGCAACGCAUUCGUAAUGCGUGGGUCGGGGGUUCGAGUCCCCCCAUCGG